rnacentral:piRNA from 1 species
UUGAAAACCAUGAGCUGGGAUAGGGCAA